UUAUUUUUAUUUUAUUUUUUUAGAAAAUGAUUAAGCUAGUUCGUAGUCAACUCAGCAACCGUCUCCCCGGCAACGGCGCCAAAAAUGCUUGUUGACACUUGCUAACACCACUUGAAUACUAAGUUGUCAUCCCCAGCAUGGCACUAGAGUGUACUAUGGUAUUUAUACGCACACAGAUAAAUCCACAUGCGCACGGAUACCGUUGUAGCUUUUACCCGAUUAAAGGUUUUAUCGUAUCCACAGGAAACGAGAGAACUGAUCUACACUCUAACUUAACCUAGAUAGAUAGAUGUAAAUAGGAAAGAUGGUAGAAUUGAAUAAGAACAAUAUAAAGGUAAGAUAACAAUGGGUGAUAAUAUGGGAAUAGAGAGUAGAGCAAUCUAGUAUAUGGGCGAUGGUCGGAGAAUAGAGAGAAUAACAAUGGUUUCUCUACUUCAAAGGGGUAUGUCUAUGUCUGGGACGAACCACGUGAUAAGAAUACACCACAAAGGAUGCUUAUCCAUAGGCCGAUAAACCCUAUCCGUCCUGCUAACAGGAGGUGGACUAUAGGGGACCAACGUAACUGUCACCUACGCGGCUUACCACACGAUCAAGCUAGACAGGGGAUAUCCACAAGUAAUCU
rnacentral:lncRNA from 1 species